rnacentral:rRNA from 1 species
UGUCUUUUUGAGUUUAAUAUAAAGUCUAAUCUGCCCACUGAUUUUAAAAAAUUAAAUGGCUGCAGUAUAUUGACUGUACAAAGGUAGCAUAAUCAUUAGUCAUUUAAUUGGUGACUUGUAUGAAGGAUUGGAUGAGAUAUAAACUGUCUUUUAUUUAAUUAUAAAAUUUAAUUUUUUUAUUAAAAAGUUAAAAUAAGUUAAAAAGACGAGAAGACCCUAUAGAGUUUUAUAAAUAAUUAAGUUAAGAUUAUAUUUAAAGUUUAAGUUUAAAAUUUAAAUAUUUAUUUUGUUGGGGUGAUAGAAAAAUAUAAAAAACUUUUUUUACAUAAAAACAUUUAUAAGUGGUUAAAUGAUCCAAUUUUAUUGAUUAUAAGAAAAAAUUACCUUAGGGAUAACAGCGUAAUUUUUUUUUUUAGUUCAAAUAAGAAAAAGAGUUUGCGACCUCGAUGUUGGAUUAAGAUAAAAUUUAAAUGUAGAAG